GCUCCUGUAGCCCAACUGGAAGAGGUGACAGACUUAAAAUCUGUUAGUUGUGGGUUCGACUCCCACCAGGAGCA
rnacentral:tRNA from 1 species